UGUCCUCUUAAAUGCGCUGUUUUUGAUGGUCCCUGAACCAGGGAGAGAUGCUUGGGGGGGAAGCAGGGGUCACCCUGGACCCAAAAGCCAGGCACUGAGAGUGUGGAGCCACCUUGAAGGGACCCUGAGGCCCCUGUAAGCACCACACCCUCUUCAAUUUACAGAUGAAGAACCAGGGUUUGCAGAGAUGCUGGGACAUGCCCGAGGCCACACCGAAUGUCAUGAGUUCCUUCCUUCAUGGACUCCUCCUUCCUUCAUGGUCUGGUGAUCAUGUCCACUCUUGGUCAUCAUGAAGAGCCAAGGAUCAAUGGAACAUGCAAGAAUAAAAUUCAGAGUUCCUGGGUUCUACUCCUGUGUCUUGGUGCCAAGAAGAGAAAAAUCCAAGAUGCCCCAAGUCAGAAAAAGUUUGCCAACCCUUGACUUAGAUUCGUGGAAAAACAGCCAUCCUCACAGUGGGAUUCAAAAGGAAUGAUUUAAAAGCUCUGCAGCUCCAAAAUCUCCUAAGUCGUUGACUCAAUGACUAAUUCCAUCAGGACCUCACACCUGCAGCCUUCUCUCCCAGAGAUUCCAUACUGAAAUGCAAUGUUACUCGAGCUGGUUGCUGUCAAGAAAUGCCACUAAAAUGGUUGAUCCACAAGUUUCCCUUUCCUGGAUGUGUUCUUUCCUUUAUGAAAAGUUACAUAGUAAAUGAAAAAUGCGUAUUGUGCUGCGCUCUUAAUUGUCAUAUACCACUU
rnacentral:lncRNA from 1 species